UGUAUAAAAAUAAAAUUAGGAUAUAGUUAAAAUAAUGAUAUUAGCUAAUGUUAAUAAACAUUUUAUUAAUAAAAUUUAUAAUAAUAUAUAAAUGAUUUAAUAAAUAUUAUAGUCUUGACCAAUUAUUGUGCCAGCAGUCGCGGUUAUACAAUAAAGGCUAAUGUUAACCAUUAUAGGCUUAAAAAAUUAGUAGAACGAUUAUAAUAAUAAUUAUAAUUAGAGUUUAUUAUAUAUUAAUCAAUAGAAUUGUUUAAGUAAUGAUGAUAUAUUAUUAUAUAAAUAAGACUUAUAUUAAUUAAAAUAAUGAUUAAUAAUAAACUGACGUUGAGAUAAUGAAAACUAAAGUAGCGAAACAGAUUCGAUACCUGUGUAGUUUUAGUCGAAAACAAUGAAUACAAUUUAAUAUUAUCAUUCAAUAUUAAAUAGAUGAAAAUUAUAGUAUUUUGCCUGAGGAGUAUAUUNAAUUAAUGAAAAUCAAGACACUAGACAGUUUGAGACUUCAGUAGUGG
rnacentral:rRNA from 1 species